rnacentral:rRNA from 1 species
CCACAUGACUCUCGGCAACGGAUAUCUUGGCUCUCGCAUCGAUGAAGAACGUAGCAAAAUGCGAUACCUGGUGUGAAUUGCAGAAUCCCGUGAACCAUCGAGUUUUUGAACGCAAGUUGCGCCCGAGGCCUCCUGACCGAGGGCACGUCUGCCUGGGCGUCACGC